UACAGAGGUCCCAAGCGUUGUUCGGAAUCACUGGGCGUAAAGGGUGCGUAGGCGGCGCGGAAAGUCAGGGGUGAAAUCCCGGAGCUCAACUCCGGAACUGCCUUUGAUACUCCCGCGCUUGAGAACUGGAGGGGAGACCGGAAUUCACGGUGGAGCAGUGAAAUGCGUGGAUAUCGUGAGGAACACUAGUGGCGAAGGCGGGUCUCUGGGACAGUAUCUGACGCUGAGGCACGAAGGCCAGGGGAGCGAACGGG
rnacentral:rRNA from 1 species